UACGGGGGGAGCAAGCGUUGUUCGGAUUUACUGGGCGUAAAGGGCGCGUAGGCGGCCAGCACAAGUCAGUUGUGAAAUCUCCGAGCUUAACUCAGAACGGCCAAGUGAUACUGCAGUGCUAGAGUGUGGAAGGGGCAAUCGGAAUUCUUGGUGUAGCGGUGAAAUGCGUAGAUAUCAAGAGGAACACCUGAGGUGAAGACGGGUUGCUGGGCCAACACUGACGCUGGAGGCGCGGAAAGCCCAGGGGAGCAAACGGG
rnacentral:rRNA from 1 species